AAUCAACGCUGGCGGCGUGCUUAACACAUGCAAGUCGAGCGGUAAGGCCCUUUCGGGGGUACACGAGCGGCGAACGGGUGAGUAACACGUGGGUGACCUGCCCUCAGCUCUGGGAUAAGCCUGGGAAACCGGGUCUAAUACUGGAUAUGACUCCAUGACGCAUGUUGUGGGGUGGAAAGCCUUGUGCGGCUGAGGAUGGGCCCGCGGCCUAUCAGCUUGUUGGG
rnacentral:rRNA from 1 species